rnacentral:rRNA from 2 species
UGGGGAAUAUUGCACAAUGGGCGAAAGCCUGAUGCAGCGACGCCGCGUGAGGGAUGACGGCCUUCGGGUUGUAAACCUCUUUCAGCAGGGACGAAGCGCAAGUGACGGUACCUGCAGAAGAAGCACCGGCUAACUACGUGCCAGCAGCCGCGGUAAUACGUAGGGUGCAAGCGUUGUCCGGAAUUACUGGGCGUAAAGAGUUCGUAGGCGGUUUGUCGCGUCGUUUGUGAAAACCAGCAGCUCAACUGCUGGCUUGCAGGCGAUACGGGCAGACUUGAGUACUGCAGGGGAGACUGGAAUUCCUGGUGUAGCGAUGAAAUGCGCAGAUAUCAGGAGGAACACCGGUGGCGAAGGCGGGUCUCUGGGCAGUAACUGACGCUGAGGAACGAAAGCGUGGGUAGCGAACAGG